rnacentral:rRNA from 1 species
AUGAACGCUGGCGGCGUGCCUAAUACAUGCAAGUAGAACGCUGAAGGAGGAGCUUGCUCUUCUGGAUGAGUUGCGAACGGGUGAGUAACGCGUAGGUAACCUGCCUGGUAGCGGGGGAUAACUAUUGGAAACGAUAGCUAAUACCGCAUGACAACAGUUAUUGCAUGAUAACUGUUUAAAAGGGGCAACUGCUCCACUACCAGAUGGACCUGCGUUGUAUUAGCUAGUUGGUGAGGUAACGGCUCACCGAGGCGACGAUACAUAGCCGACCUGAGAGGGUGAUCGGCCACACUGGGACUGAGACACGGCCCAGACUCCUACGGGAGGCAGCAGUAGGGAAUCUUCGGCAAUGGACGGAAGUCUGACCGAGCAACGCCGCGUGAGUGAAGAAGGUUUUCGGAUCGUAAAGCUCUGUUGUAAGAGAAGAACGAGUGUGAGAGUGGAAAGUUCACACUGUGACGGUAGCUUACCAGAAAGGGACGGCUAACUACGUG